CAUAACCGUUAUCUUUCGUCUCGUUCUAUCGUACCUAGAGCAUAUGAAAGUAAAAGAGAAACACAUAAAUUAGUCAAUCGCCCGAAAAUUAUUCAUUUUCGUUCUGUGUUCUGCAGUGUUCGGUUGGGGCCUAUUUUGUGAUCGAUUACGAUAGAAGUCUUGUUAAAAAAAAUAUGGCUGCUUCCAAACGUGAUUUGCCUAGCGAAUUUCCAAACGAUGCCGUUGGCUAACGGAUAGUUAGAGGAAAAUUUCGCAGAGGCAAUAUCACGUUUCGAAAACAAUUUGCUGUACGAUUAAGGCGCAGGGUGAAUCUCGUUCGGCUUUGCAAUGCAGACAAAAUGAAGCUACGCCAUGACGAAUCAAACUAUUGAGGAAGCCUAUUUUUUGUAUUACUAUUUUAAGAUCCAGUGGAGAUAAACGAGUAAACCAUAAAUACAAUACGUCAAUAAUUUGUGUGUCAGCAGAUUCGGAUAAUAAAUUUUGUAUUCUUCCGUUAUGGUAAUCAUUUUAUUAUAAACAUAGUCAGUUUCCACUAUACAAAAUAAAAACAAGUCAUUUUGCUGCAAAA